GGCCUCGUAGCUCAGCUGUCUAAAGCGUUGACUGUACUAAAGUCCUCCCCUUGCUGGCGUGGGUUCGAAUCCCACCAAGGCCG
rfam:Schistocephalus solidus strain NST_G2 genome assembly, scaffold: SSLN_scaffold0000345